AACGAACGCUGGCGGCAUGCCUAACACAUGCAAGUCGAACGAGGGUCUCGCUUCGGUGGGGCCCUAGUGGCGCACGGGUGAGUAACGCGUGGGAACCUGCCCUGUGGUACGGAAUAACUCCGGGAAACUGGAGCUAAUACCGUAUGCGUCCUGCGGGACAAAGAUUUAUCGCCCUGGGAUGGGCCCGCGUAGGAUUUGCUUGUUGGUGGGGUAACGGCCUACCAAGGCAACGAUCCUUAGCUGGUCUGAGAGGAGGAUCAGCCACACUGGGACUGAGACACGGCCCAGACUCCUACGGGAGGCAGCAGUGGGGAAUAUUGGACAAUGGGCGCAAGCCUGAUCCAGCAAUGCCGCGUGAGUGAUGAAGGCCUUCGGGUUGUAAAGCUCUUUCGCACGCGACGAUGAUGACGGUAGCGUGAGAAGAAGCCCCGGCUAACUUCGUGCCAGCCGCCGCGGUAACAC
rnacentral:rRNA from 1 species